rnacentral:rRNA from 1 species
CAGAAACUACAAAGGAAGUUGACGGGGCCCGCACAAGCGGAGGAGCAUGUGGUUUAAUUCGAUGAUACGCGAGGAACCUUACCUGGGCUCGAACGUAAGAUGACUGUAGGUGAAAGCUUACAUCUCUUCGGAGCAUUUUACGAGGUGCUGCAUGGUUGUCGUCAGCUCGUGCCGUGAGGUGUCGGGUUAAGUCCCAUAACGAGCGCAACCCUACCUUUAGUUGCCAUCAGGUAAUGCUGGGGACUCUAAAGGAACUGCCUACGCAAGUAGUGAGGAAGGCGGGGAUGACGUCAAAUCAGCACGGCCCUUACGUCCAGGGCUACACACGUGCUACAAUGGCCGAUACAGAGGGCAGCUACCUGGUGACAGGAUGCAAAUCUCCAAAGUCGGUCUCAGUUCGGAUCGGAGUCUGCAACCCGACUCCGUGAAGUUGGAUUCGCUAGUAAUCGCGCAUCAGCCAUGGCGCGGCGAAUACGUUCCCGGGCCUU